CACACACACACACACUGCAGACAAAGAAAGGAAGCCUCAGAGACAUCCCCGGAUGAUGGCCGUUAAACCACGAGCCAGGCUGUGCACUUCACCUUCACGAUCCCAGAGCACGUUCACAGGAAUCCAACGGUGUGGUGGAAAUGGUCCCAUUUCACAGACCAGACAUCUGAGGCCUGGAGAGGCAGGGCCCUGAGUCCCACCGAUGGUCAGGCGUCUGGGAAAGGCCCAGCAGGAUGCUUCUGCCUUCCGCGCCUCUUGUGCGGUUGCCACCACAUGCUGGCUGUGGGGCUGGACACCUGGCUGUCACCGACAUUGUGGGCUCAGCGAGAGGUCUCGAAGGAAGUGUCCCCGUGUCCCCAUGCAGUCCUUCCUGGGAGGCAGGCUUAAGGUAGUCUGAACUUCACUCCACCCAGACCAAGCCUCCCAAGGGGAGCAGGUGGAGGUGCGUGACCUUUCAUGACCCAGCCUUUGAAAUCAGAGAACGUCACCUCUGCCAUGCUCUGAGUCGAAUCACAGAGCCUGCGGAGGGUCGUGGAGAGAGGACGUAGGUCACACUUCUCCACAGGUGGAGACUGAAGUAUUCGCAGACAAGAUAUGGGAAAACACGGAGCCUGGCACCGCGCACUCAGUAAAAGAUCACCCGUUCUUCUCAGGGGGCCAAGCUAAGCGGCCCAGGGGAGUGAGCGCCACCUUUCGGUCUCCUGACUCCACCUUGCACGGCUGUGUGUCUUUGCUCAGCCCACCUGGCCGCUCUUAGUGACGCUGCCUCCCAGCGGGCAGACUGAGUCUGCGACUCACUGGUUGGUGCCCUCGUUUGGAACGGGUCAGGCUGGGUUCCAGCCCCAACCUCUCCACUUUCAAGCUGCUGGCCUGAGCUCAGCUCCCCGUCUGUAAACUGAGGCUGAUGACCAUGGCCUCCGUGUCCCUGCGGGCUGCCUUUAAACCUUUCAAUGGUUUCAAGGUAGACCUUAAUGAAUGGGCAAUAAUUAGAACAGGAUCUGGCCCGAAGCAGGAAUCAGUUAAUAUUAUUAUUAGAGCCGCCAAAGCAAAAAGCAAGAGACAGAGAAUUCUGAUUUUGAUGAGCAGUUUUCCAUCAUUGUGCAAUCUCAGAAUCUAAUUUCCAAAAAGUAACGUUUGAAUUUGAA